GGGUUGUGAGGUUAAGUGACUAAGCGUACACGGUGGAUGCCUAGGCAGUCAGAGGCGAUGAAGGGCGUGCUAAUCUGCGAAAAGCGUCGGUAAGGUGAUAUGAACCGUUACAACCGGCGAUACCCGAAUGGGGAAACCCAGUGUGUUUCGACACACUAUCAUGUCAUGAAUACAUAGUGGCAUGAGGCGAACCGGGGGAACUGAAACAUCUAAGUACCCCGAGGAAAAGAAAUCAACCGAGAUUCCCCCAGUAGCGGCGAGCGAACGGGGAGGAGCCCAGAACCUGAAUCGGCUUGUGUGUUAGUGGAAGCGUCUGGAAAGUCGCGCAGCAAAGGGUGAUAGCCCCGUACACUAAAAUGCACAGGUCGUGAGUUCGAUGAGUAGGGCGGGACACGUGACAUCCUGUCUGAAUAUGGGGGGACCAUCCUCCAAGGCUAAAUACUCCUGACUGACCGAUAGUGAACCAGUACCGUGAGGGAAAGGCGAAAAGAACCCCGGCGAGGGGAGUGAAAUAGAACCUGAAACCGUGUACGUACAAGCAGUGGGAGCACCUUCGUGGUGUGACUGCGUACCUUUUGUAUAAUGGGUCAGCGACUUAUAUUUUGUAGCAAGGUUAACCGUAUAGGGGAGCCGUAGGGAAACCGAGUCUUAACUGGGCGACUAGUUGCAAGGUAUAGACCCGAAACCCGGUGAUCUAGCCAUGGGCAGGUUGAAGGUUGGGUAACACUAACUGGAGGACCGAACCGACUAAUGUUGAAAAAUUAGCGGAUGACUUGUGGCUGGGGGUGAAAGGCCAAUCAAACCGGGAGAUAGCUGGUUCUCCCCGAAAGCUAUUUAGGUAGCGCCUCGUGAACUCAUCUUCGGGGGUAGAGCACUGUUUCGGCUAGGGGGCCAUCCCGGCUUACCAAACCGAUGCAAACUCCGAAUACCGAAGAAUGUUAUCACGGGAGACACACGGCGGGUGCUAACGUCCGUCGUGAAGAGGGAAACAACCCAGACCGCCAGCUAAGGUCCCAAAGUCAUGGUUAAGUGGGAAACGAUGUGGGAAGGCAUAGACAGCCAGGAUGUUGGCUUAGAAGCAGCCAUCAUUUAAAGAAAGCGUAAUAGCUCACUGGUCGAGUCGGCCUGCGCGGAAGAUGUAACGGGGCUAAACCAUGCACCGAAGCUGCGGCAGCGACGCUUAGGCGUUGUUGGGUAGGGGAGCGUUCUGUAAGCCGUUGAAGGUGGCCUGUGAGGGUUGCUGGAGGUAUCAGAAGUGCGAAUGCUGACAUAAGUAACGAUAAAGCGGGUGAAAAGCCCGCUCGCCGGAAGACCAAGGGUUCCUGUCCAACGUUAAUCGGGGCAGGGUGAGUCGACCCCUAAGGCGAGGCUGAAAAGCGUAGUCGAUGGGAAACAGGUUAAUAUUCCUGUACUUGGUGUUACUGCGAAGGGGGACGGAGAAGGCUAGGCUGGCCGGGCGACGGUUGUCCCGGUUUAAGCGUGUAGGGGGUGUGACCUGGUAAAUCCGGUUGCAUAUCAACCCUGAGGCGUGAUGACGAUGCACUACGGUGCAGAAGUAGUUGAUGCCCUGCUUCCAGGAAAAUCCUCUAAGCUCCAGGUAACAUUAAAUCGUACCCCAAACCGACACAGGUGGUCAGGUAGAGAAUACCAAGGCGCUUGAGAGAACUCGGGUGAAGGAACUAGGCAAAAUGGUGCCGUAACUUCGGGAGAAGGCACGCUGGCAUGUAGGUGAAGUCCCUUGCGGAUGGAGCUGAAGCCAGUCGAAGAUACCAGCUGGCUGCAACUGUUUAAUAAAAACACAGCACUGUGCAAACACGAAAGUGGACGUAUACGGUGUGACGCCUGCCCGGUGCUGGAAGGUUAAUUGAUGGGGUCAGCCGCAAGGCGAAGCUCUUGAUCGAAGCCCCAGUAAACGGCGGCCGUAACUAUAACGGUCCUAAGGUAGCGAAAUUCCUUGUCGGGUAAGUUCCGACCUGCACGAAUGGCGUAAUGAUGGCCAGGCUGUCUCCACCCGAGACUCAGUGAAAUUGAACUCGCUGUGAAGAUGCAGUGUACCCGCGGCAAGACGGAAAGACCCCGUGAACCUUUACUAUAGCUUGACACUGAACAUUGAGCCUUGAUGUGUAGGAUAGGUGGGAGGCUUUGAAGCGUGGACGCCAGUCUGCGUGGAGCCAUCCUUGAAAUACCACCCUUUAAUGUUUGAUGUUCUAACUCGGCCCCAUAAUCUGGGGUGAGGACAGUGUCUGGUGGGUAGUUUGACUGGGGCGGUCUCCUCCCAAAGAGUAACGGAGGAGCACGAAGGUUAGCUAAUCACGGUCGGACAUCGUGAGGUUAGUGCAAAGGCAUAAGCUAGCUUGACUGCGAGAGUGACGGCUCGAGCAGGUACGAAAGUAGGUCUUAGUGAUCCGGUGGUUCUGAAUGGAAGGGCCAUCGCUCAACGGAUAAAAGGUACUCCGGGGAUAACAGGCUGAUACCGCCCAAGAGUUCAUAUCGACGGCGGUGUUUGGCACCUCGAUGUCGGCUCAUCACAUCCUGGGGCUGAAGUAGGUCCCAAGGGUAUGGCUGUUCGCCAUUUAAAGUGGUACGCGAGCUGGGUUUAGAACGUCGUGAGACAGUUCGGUCCCUAUCUGCCGUGGGCGUUGGAAGAUUGAGAGGGGUUGCUCCUAGUACGAGAGGACCGGAGUGAACGCACCACUGGUGUUCGGGUUGUCAUGCCAAUGGCAUUGCCCGGUAGCUAAGUGCGGAAAAGAUAAGCGCUGAAAGCAUCUAAGCGCGAAACUUGCCUCAAGAUGAGUCUUCCCUGGGCCUUUAAGGCCCCUGAAGGAACGUUUAAGACUAAGACGUUGAUAGGCUGGGUGUGUAAGUGCAGCGAUGCAUUGAGCUAACCAGUACUAAUGAUCCGUGAGGCUUAACCUUACAACACCGAAGGUGUUU
rnacentral:rRNA from 1 species